AUGUCAGCAGUGCCUUAGCAGCACGUAAAUAUUGGAGUUAAGAUUCUAAAAUUAUCUCCAGUAUUAACUGUGCUGCUGAAGUAAGGUUGGCAA
rnacentral:pre_miRNA from 1 species